GCUCGGGUCGCCUAACCUGGUAGGGCACCAGUCUGCUAAGCUGGCGGAGCUUUGCUCCUUGCGGGUUCAAAUCCCGCCCCGAGCG
rnacentral:tRNA from 1 species